UCAAAUGGAUGGAUCACAAAAUAUCUAUAAUUAUUACAUAGAAAAGGCGCAAAUAAGUUUUUUAAAUACAUGCAAUAAAUUCUAUAACCCAAUUUAUAAUGUUAAUAAAAUAUUAGCAAGAGAUUUAAAUAUAGGAUCAGAUUUUGUUAUCGGACUAAGAUUUUGUAUACAGAAUAAAGGAGGAUGUCUCUUAACAAGAGAUGGAAUAAUGCUCUUUAAAAAUUUAACUUAUACACCAGUACAAACAGUAACAUUGCCAACAGUAUAUAGAACACUAAACACACAUAAAACAAGAUUGCUU
rnacentral:lncRNA from 1 species